GGUCCUAAGCUGAGGCCGACAGGCGUAGGCGAUGGAUAACAGGUUGAUAUUCCUGUACCACCUAUAAUCGUUUUAAUCGAUGGGGGGACGCAGUAGGAUAGGCGAAGCGUGCGAUUGGAUUGCACGUCUAAGCAGUAAGGCUGAGUAUUAGGCAAAUCCGGUACUCAUUAAGGCUGAGCUGUGAUGGGGAGAAGACAUUGUGUCUUCGAGUCGUUGAUUUCACACUGCCGAGAAAAGCCUCUAGAUAGAAAAUAGGUGCCCGUACCGCAAACCGACACAGGUAGUCAAGAUGAGAAUUCUAAGGUGAGCGAGCGAACUCUCGUUAAGGAACUCGGCAAAAUGACCCCGUAACUUCGGGAGAAGG
rnacentral:rRNA from 1 species